UCUUUAUAUUUCCUGCAGUGUAGGCUUGGUAGUCACUUACUCUUUUAAACCUUGCUGGUCUUGGAAGCUCUUUAUCUCUCUAUCCAUUUUGAAUGUUGGUCUUGUUGGAUAAAGUAUUCUUGGCUGCAAGGUCUUCCCAUUUAGUGCCCCG